rnacentral:misc_RNA from 1 species
CUUGGAUUCAUUGAGGUUAACUUCAUUACUACCAGCCAUGAGAAUGACUCCGUACAGCAAGAGCUAAAAAGGACUAAGAGGUAAAUUAAGCGAGAACCCAGCAGAGAAAAUGAUCUUCAGAAAAAGCUUGACAUUCAUUUAUUUAGAUUCACAAGAGUGAUAUGAAAUAAGAUGAAAAGCCCAGAAAACAACUUCCAUCUGCCUAUUCCUCUGUUUUCUCUGGCGUGAGACCCUGCGGAGCUAUAAUAUAAGUAGGCCGUGUCUCUUUUUGUACCCUUCUUAUCUCUUUUCUUUCUUUCCUGUUGAUUGAUUCCUCGUUUAGAGUUCUGAACAAGCAAGGAAGCGACACUUGUUUCUGAAAUAAGGGAACAGCGAGUGUGAGAGAUAGAUAGAUAGCGAGAGAAAAAAAAAAUCGAUGACAAAUAUAUCAUCUAGAGAGAGAAACAAAAAGUACAG